GCUUAACCGGAGAAGUGCAUCGGAAACUGGGAGACUUGAGUGCAGAAGAGGACAGUGGAACUCCAUGUGUAGCGGUGGAAUGCGUAGAUAUAUGGAAGAACACCAGUGGCGAAGGCGGCUGUCUAGUCUGUAACUGACGCUGAGGCUCGAAAGCAUGGGUAGCGAACAGGAUUAGAUACCCUGGUAGUCCAUGCCGUAAACGAUGAGUGCUAAGUGUUGGAGGGUUUCCGCCCUUCAGUGCUGCAGCUAACGCAUUAAGCACUCCGCCUGGGGAGUACGACCGCAAGGUUGAAACUCAAAGGAAUUGACGGGGGCCCGCACAAGCGGUGGAGCAUGUGGUUUAAUUCGAAGCUACGCGAAGAACCUUACCAGGUCUUGACAUCUUCUGCCAAUCUUAGAGAUAAGACGUUCCCUUCGGGGACAGAAUGACAGGUGGUGCAUGGUUGUCGUCAGCUCGUGUCGUGAGAUGUUGGGUUAAGUCCCGCAACGAGCGCAACCCUUAUUAUCAGUUGCCAGCAUUCAGCUGGGCACUCUGGUGAGACUGCCGGUGACAAACCGGAGGAAGGUGGGGAUGACGUCAAAUCAUCAUGCCCCUUAUGACCUGGGCUACACACGUGCUACAAUGGACGGUACAACG
rnacentral:rRNA from 1 species